ACAGAGGUCUCAAGCGUUGUUCGGAUUUACUGGGCGUAAAGGGCGCGUAGGCGGCCAGAGCAAGUCAGUUGUGAAAUCUCCGAGCUUAACUCGGAACGGUCAACUGAUACUGCUCGGCUAGAGUGCGGGAGGGGCAACUGGAAUUCUUGGUGUAGCGGUGAAAUGCGUAGAUAUCAAGAGGAACACCUGCGGCGAAGGCGGGUUGCUGGGCCGACACUGACGCUGAAGCGCGAAAGCUAGGGGAGCGAACGGGA
rnacentral:rRNA from 1 species